rnacentral:rRNA from 1 species
UACGUAGGGUGCGAGCGUUGCCCGGAUUUAUUGGGCGUAAAGGGCGCGUAGGCGGCUCGGCACGUCCGUUGUGAAAUCGCCCCGGCUCAACUGGGCGGGGUCGGCGGAUACGGCCGAGCUGGAGCAAGCUAGGGGGUAAUGGAAUUCCCGGUGUAGUGGUGGAAUGCGCAGAUAUCGGGAGGAACACCAAUGGCGAAGGCAGCUCGCUGGGACGGUACUGACGCUGAGACGACGAAAGCGGUGGGGAGCAAACAGG